AUUCACCAUCAAUAUCCCCUCCAUCUACCUUUUCCUUCUCGCUCCCUCACUUCACGAACCCAAGAACUGCUCCCUUACUCCCCUCCCCCUUUUUUCAUGAAUUGCUCACACCUAGGAACCCCACCUUUAUCUAUGUAGCAAGUUGCAGUUAGCUACCCCAAGUCCAUCUGUAACUCGCUCUUUUACCUUCACGACAACACCUUCACCCUCUAUUGUAGUUAUAGGCUCCUUAUUUGUUUUCCCACUUACUCAACUUUCUUCUUCUUCUGUCUUUUGUGUGACGCAUUUACUCCAUUGAUGCUAUGUUAUCACUCUCCUCCCUCAUUGAUUUGUCAUCCCAAGACUUCCAAUCUUCAUUUGAUUUUUACUGCUGCAUAUUAUGAGAUAGCGAUUUAUUUUAGAUUUGUUAUUUUGAAUUAUUUUUUCAUAUUUGAAUAUACUAUUUUCAGUUUUAUUGAUUUUGAAAUGAGAUUUUAGAAUUGUUUGUUUUAAUUUUAUUUUUAUUUUAGCAUAUUAUCAAUUUGUUGAGGAUUUUGAUUUAUUAUUUUUAUUGGGUUAAUUUUUUGUUAUUGGAUUUAUUAUUGAAUUUAGUUUUGCUCUGGAGAGAGAGAUAAAUGAAAGACAAAAAUAAAGAGAGGGAGAGAGAAAAUCGACAAGAGAGAACAAAAUUGAAGAGAGAGAAAGAGAGGAAGAGAUGGCAAGGGUACUAUACAAAAAAUUUAUUUCAUUAAACUACUUUUUUCAUUUAAAAGUGGAUAAACUUUUAAAAUAAAUUAUUUAGCUGAUAAAAUUAAACUUUAAAGACAUAACAAUAUAAUUAUUAAAAUAAAAAAUAAAAAUAAUACAAUAUCUAAAAACUUGACAGUAAUUUAGCAAUUUUCUUUUUCAAUUGAGAGGAUUACUAUUUCGACUUUAGUAUAACAUUUCAAAAAGUAAGGUGAUCUAACUAUGAUUCAGUUAUUCAUUUGGAUUAAAAAGAUAUAUCCAUCUUUCCCUCUCCAGGAGAUCUCUUUCUCUUUUUCCUUUGGGUAUCGAGAGCUCGUCUCUCUCACUUGCUGGACUACGCGACUAUCCCUUGCCCCUUUCAGGUGGGGAACUGCUCUCCUCUUCUCCUUCUAGAUGUAUCCUCAAUUCGCGGGAAUUCGACAGUUGUUCGGAUCUAUGAAUUUCCGGCCAGACAGA
rnacentral:misc_RNA from 1 species